rnacentral:rRNA from 1 species
GGUGGAUUAGUGGCGAACGGGUGAGUAACACGUGGGUAAUCUGCCCUGCACUCUGGGAUAAGCCUUGGAAACGAGGUCUAAUACCGGAUAUGACACACGGCGGCAUCUCCUGUGUGUGGAAAGUUCCGGCGGUGCAGGAUGAACCCGCGGCCUAUCAGCUUGUUGGUGGGGUAGUGGCCUACCAAGGCGACGACGGGUAGCCGGCCUGAGAGGGUGACCGGCCACACUGGGACUGAGACACGGCCCAGACUCCUACGGGAGGCAGCAGUGGGGAAUCUUGCGCAAUGGGCGAAAGCCUGACGCAGCAACGCCGCGUGGGGGAUGACGGCCUUCGGGUUGUAAACCUCUUUCGACAGGGACGAAGCUUUCGGGUGACGGUACCUGUAGAAGAAGCACCGGCUAACUACGUGCCAGCAGCCGCGGUAAUACGUAGGGUGCGAGCGUUGUCCGGAUUUAUUGGGCGUAAAGAGCUCGUAGGCGGUUUGUCGCGUCGGCCGUGAAAACCUGCAGCUUAACUGUGGGCGUGCGGUCGAUACGGGCAGACUUGAGUUCGGCAGGGGAGACUGGAAUUCCUGGUGUAGCGGUGAAAUGCGCAGAUAUCAGGAGGAACACCGGUGGCGAAGGCGGGUCUCUGGGCCGAUACUGACGCUGAGGAGCGAAAGCAUGGGGAGCGAACAGGAUUAGAUACCCUGGUAGUCCA